rnacentral:rRNA from 1 species
CUUUGGGAUAACCCUCGGAAACGGGGGCUAAUACCGGAUGUGACCUUCCACCGCAUGGUGGGGGGUGGAAAGUUUUUUCGGCUGAAGAUGGGCUCGCGGCCUAUCAGCUUGUUGGUGGGGUGAUGGCCUACCAAGGCGGUGACGGGUAGCCGGCCUGAGAGGGCGACCGGCCACACUGGGACUGAGACACGGCCCGGACUCCUACGGGAGGCAGCAGUGGGGAAUAUUGCACAAUGGGCGCAAGCCUGAUGCAGCGACGCCGCGUGGGGGAUGACGGCCUUCGGGUUGUAAACCUCUUUCGGCAGGGACGAAGCCGCAAGGUGGCGGUACCUGUAGAAGAAGCGCCGGCCAACUACGUGCCAGCAGCCGCGGUAAGACGUAGGGCGCGAGCGUUGUCCGGAUUUAUUGGGCGUAAAGAGCUCGUAGGCGGCUUGUUGCGUCGUCCGUGAAAACUUGCGGCUUAACUGCAAGCUUGCGGUCGAUACGGGCAGGCUGGAGUUCGGCAGGGGAGACUGGAAUUCCUGGUGUAGCGGUGAAAUGCGCAGAUAUCAGGAGGAACACCGGUGGCGAAGGCGGGUCUCUGGGCUGAUACUGACGCUGAGGAGCGAAAGCGUGGGGAGCGAACAGGAUUAGAUACCCUGGUAGUCCACGCUGUAAACGUUGGGCGC